GAUGAACGCUGGCGGCGUGCCUAAUACAUGCAAGUCGAGCGAACGGACGAGAAGCUUGCUUCUCUGAUGUUAGCGGCGGACGGGUGAGUAACACGUGGAUAACCUACCUAUAAGACUGGGAUAACUUCGGGAAACCGGAGCUAAUACCGGAUAAUAUUUUGAACCGCAUGGUUCAAAAGUGAAAGACGGUCUUGCUGUCACUUAUAGAUGGAUCCGCGCUGCAUUAGCUAGUUGGUAAGGUAACGGCUUACCAAGGCAACGAUGCAUAGCCGACCUGAGAGGGUGAUCGGCCACACUGGAACUGAGACACGGUCCAGACUCCUACGGGAGGCAGCAGUAGGGAAUCUUCCGCAAUGGGCGAAAGCCUGACGGAGCAACGCCGCGUGAGUGAUGAAGGUCUUCGGAUCGUAAAACUCUGUUAUUAGGGAAGAACAUAUGUGUAAGUAACUGUGCACAUCUUGACGGUACCUAAUCAGAAAGCCACGGCUAACUACGUGCCAGCAGCCGCGGUAAUACGUAGGUGGCAAGCGUUAUCCGGAAUUAUUGGGCGUAAAGCGCGCGUAGGCGGUUUUUUAAGUCUGAUGUGAAAGCCCACGGCUCAACCGUGGAGGGUCAUUGGAAACUGGAAAACUUGAGUGCAGAAGAGGAAAGUGGAAUUCCAUGUGUAGCGGUGAAAUGCGCAGAGAUAUGGAGGAACACCAGUGGCGAAGGCGACUUUCUGGUCUGUAACUGACGCUGAUGUGCGAAAGCGUGGGGAUCAAACAGGAUUAGAUACCCUGGUAGUCCACGCCGUAAACGAUGAGUGCUAAGUGUUAGGGGGUUUCCGCCCCUUAGUGCUGCAGCUAACGCAUUAAGCACUCCGCCUGGGGAGUACGACCGCAAGGUUGAAACUCAAAGGAAUUGACGGGGACCCGUACAAGCGGUGGAGCAUGUGGUUUAAUUCGAAGCAACGCGAAGAACCUUACCAAAUCUUGACAUCCUUUGACAACUCUAGAGAUAGAGCCUUCCCCUUCGGGGGACAAAGUGACAGGUGGUGCAUGGUUGUCGUCAGCUCGUGUCGUGAGAUGUUGGGUUAAGUCCCGCAACGAGCGCAACCCUUAAGCUUAGUUGCCAUCAUUAAGUUGGGCACUCUAAGUUGACUGCCGGUGACAAACCGGAGGAAGGUGGGGAUGACGUCAAAUCAUCAUGCCCCUUAUGAUUUGGGCUACACACGUGCUACAAUGGACAAUACAAAGGGCAGCGAAACCGCGAGGUCAAGCAAAUCCCAUAAAGUUGUUCUCAGUUCGGAUUGUAGUCUGCAACUCGACUACAUGAAGCUGGAAUCGCUAGUAAUCGUAGAUCAGCAUGCUACGGUGAAUACGUUCCCGGGUCU
rnacentral:rRNA from 1 species